rnacentral:rRNA from 1 species
AGAGAGAGACAUGCGCGCAUAUCAAUAAGCGGAGGAAAAGAAACUAACAAGGAUUCCCUUAGUAACGGCGAGUGAAGCGGGAAGAGCUCAAAUUUGAAAUCUUCAAGGUUCUACCUUGACGAAUUGUAGUUUAUAGAAGUGUUUUCUGUUAGUGGAGUGGCAAAAGUUCUUUGGAAUAGGACAUCAUAGAGGGUGAGAAUCCCGUAUUUGGUCAUUCCUCCUAGCGUUGUGAUACACUUUCAACGAGUCGGAUUGUUUGGGAAUGCAGUCCAAAAUGGGUGGUAAAUUUCAUCUAAAGCUAAAUAUUGGCGAGAGACCGAUAGCGAACAAGUACCGUGAGGGAAAGAUGAAAAGAACUUUGAAAAGAGAGUUAAACAGUACGUGAAAUUGUCAAAAGGGAAGCGUUUGACACCAGUGUUGUUUUUCCGAAAAUCAAUUACGAAUGUUUUAUUUUUGAGGAGUUAUGACUUCAUCGGCUUGCUCCUCUCUUUACUGAAACUUUCUUAAUGCACUUUUCGGUUAACAAGUCAACAUCAAUUUCUUUUGUUGUAAAAGGGUAUGAGGAAGGUGGCUUUCUUUUCGGAGAAAGUGUUUAUAGCCUCGUGCCUCUGCAAUCGGAGAGAUUGAGGUCUGCAGCGUAGAUCCUUCGGGGUUAGAUACAUUUGUGCUAAGUUAUAGCCUUUCAUAGACAACUUGUUGACUAUGUUUAGUCUUGUAGCUUACUCGCUUACUGCUAUUUUACCUACGCUUAGGAUGUUGAUAGUCACAGCGUGUAC